GAAUCUUCCACAAUGGACGAAAGUCUGAUGGAGCAAUGCCGCGUGAGCGAAGAAGGUUUUCGGAUCGUAAAGCUCUGUUGUAAGGGAAGGACAAGUACGGGAGUAACUGCCCGUAACUUGACGGUACCUUAUUAAAACGACACGGCUAACUCCGGCCCACAAGCCGCGGUAAUACGUAGGUGGCAAGCGUUGUCCGGAACUAUUGGGCGUAAAGCGCGCGCAGGCGGCCUGUUAAGUCUGAUGUGAAAGCCCCCGGCUCAACCGGGGAAGGUCAUUGGAAACUGAUAGGCUUGAGUACAGAAGAGGAAAGCGGAAUUCCACGUGUAGCGGUGAAAUGCGUAGAGAUGUGGAGGAACACCAGUGGCGAAGGCGGCUUUCUGGUCUGUAACUGACGCUGAGGCGCGAAAGCGUGGGGAGCAAACA
rnacentral:rRNA from 1 species